rnacentral:rRNA from 1 species
GUUGAUCCUGCCAGUAGUCAUAUGCUUGUCUCAAAGAUUAAGCCAUGCAUGUCUCAGUACAAGCCGAAUUAAGGUGAAACCGCGAAAGGCUCAUUAAAUCAGUUAUGGUUCCUUAGAUCGUACCCACAUUUACUUGGAUAACUGUGGUAAUUCUAGAGCUAAUACAUGCAAACAGAGCUCCGACCGGAGACGGAAGGAGCGCUUUUAUUAGAUCAAAACCAAUCGGCGGCGGGCUCGCUCGUCGUCGUACACCUUGGUGAAUCUGAAUAACUUUCUGCUGAUCGCAUGGUCUCGCACCGGCGACGCAUCUUUCAAAUGUCUGCCUUAUCAACUGUCGAUGGUAGGUUCUGCGCCUACCAUGGUUGUAACGGGUAACGGGGAAUCAGGGUUCGAUUCCGGAGAGGGAGCCUGAGAAACGGCUACCACAUCCAAGGAAGGCAGCAGGCGCGCAAAUUACCCACUCCCGGCACGGGGAGGUAGUGACGAAAAAUAACGAUACGGGACUCAUCCGAGGCCCCGUAAUCGGAAUGAGUACACUCUAAACCCUUUAACGAGGAUCAAUUGGAGGGCAAGUCUGGUGCCAGCAGCCGCGGUAAUUCCAGCUCCAAUAGCGUAUAUUAAAGUUG